rnacentral:rRNA from 1 species
UGGGGAAUAUUGGACAAUGGGGGGAACCCUGAUCCAGCCAAGCCGCGUGUGUGAAGAAGGCCUUAUGGUUGUAAAGCACUUUAAGCGAGGAGGAGGGUACUGGUAUUAAUACUACCAGGUACUGGACGUUACUCGCAGAAUAAGCACCGGCUAACUCUGUGCCAGCAGCCGCGGUAAUACAGAGGGUGCGAGCGUUAAUCGGAUUUACUGGGCGUAAAGCGUGCGUAGGCGGCUAAUUGAGUCGGAUGUGAAAUCCCCGAGCUUAACUUGGGAAUUGCAUUCGAUACUGGUUAGCUAGAGUGUGGGAGAGGAUGGUAGAAUUCCAGGUGUAGCGGUGAAAUGCGUAGAGAUCUGGAGGAAUACCGAUGGCGAAGGCAGCCAUCUGGCCUAACACUGACGCUGAGGUACGAAAGCAUGGGGAGCAAACAGG